rnacentral:tRNA from 1 species
GCUCGCGUGGCCAAAUGGUACGGCGUACCUCUCCUAUUCAAGUCCCUCAGAAGCAGGGUCUUGGGUACAAGGUAAGAUUGUGGGUUCGAUCCCCACCGUGAGCU